UUUCAUUUGAAAGAGUAAAGUUCAGCCACAAGUGUUAUUACAAAAUUACCAAAUAUUUUACCAACCAACCUUAAAUUAUUCUUUUCCCAGGUACCGCUCUUUAAAUCCAUUUUGGGCAAUAACUUAAUUAAGAACUUGGACCAAAUAAUAAGCCCUGAAGUAAUAAUGCAACUAAAUUACAGUGGGUCUAAGCACAAGUAUGGACUAGCAAAUUUUCACAAUUUAAAUUCAGUACUGCAAGAAUCACUAAAACGGGAAGGAUAUUCCUUAUUGGAAUACAUAAAAGACGUCCGAUUGGCCUUUUUGCGCCAAAAAAAAUAAAAUAUAUAAGGGGAGAAGCGCAUUAAAGAAGGCCCAACCGGAGCCAGGAGCCGAACC